GAUGAAGAACGUAGCGAAAUGCGAUAAGUAAUGUGAAUUGCAGAAUUCAGUGAAUCAUCGAAUCUUUGAACGCACAUUGCGCCCGCCAGUAUUCUGGCGGGCGUGCCUGUUCGAGCGUCAUUUCAACCCUCAAGCCCCCGGGCUUGGUGUUGGGGAUCGGCGUGCCCUCGCGGCGCGCCGUCCCCUAAAUCUAGUGGCGGUCUCGCUGUAGCUUCCUCUGCGUAGUAGCAACACUCGCACUGGAUCGCAGCGCGGCCACGCCGUUAAACCCCCCACUUCUGAAAGUUUGACCUCGGAUCAGGUAGGAAUACCCGCUGAACUUAAGCAUAUCAAUAAGCGGAGGA
rnacentral:misc_RNA from 1 species